UACGGAGGGUGCGAGCGUUAAUCGGAAUACUGGGCGUAAAGCGCAUGCAGGCGGUCUGUUAAGCAAGAUGUGAAAGCCCGGGGCUCGAACCUCGGAACAGCAUUUUGAACUUGGCAGACUAGAGUCUUGUAGAGGGGGGUAGGAAUUUCUAGGUGUAGCGGUGAAAUGCGUAGAGAUCUGAAGGAAUACCGGUGGCGAAGGCGGCCCCCUGGACAAAGACUGACGCUCAGAUGCGAAAGCGUGGGGAGCAAACAGGAUUAGAUACCCCGGUAGUCC
rnacentral:rRNA from 1 species